GUCGGUCCUACCUGGCUCUCACCUAUUUGCACCUGCUGUGCCUGGCCUUUGCUCCAGAGGGGGUUGCUUCAGGGCCCGCCAUGCCAGGUCUCUGCAACAAUCGGUUCUCAAAGAAGCCUGGUGUGGGUUUGGAGCCAGACUCCUCAUCUCCACUCUUCCUCUGCUACUUUCCUUUUCUGGGCAAAUUGCUGAACCUGUGAGCCUAGUUCCCUCAUCUGUAAAAUGGGUUCUGAGCAAAGCUUCCAGAUCAACACCCAGGGCUGGCGAACUCUUCUCCCUGCUCGGCUGCCCGAUGGGUGGCCUUCUCCAGGGAGAAGAGUCAGGGAGACCUGGGAGACCCAGAGUGGUGGGUCUUGGGGGCCGAGUGAGGCCAGGCAGGCAAGACCUGGCACCUUCUGUGGUGUGCCUGUCAGUAACCUGUGGAUGACCAUGAAUUCAAUAUUCAAGUCUGUUCUGAAAUGCAAUUCUGGGCUACAUUGUUUCUGGAAGUUUGGACAGAAAGCACAAAGAACUAAAUUAAAUUACCACAAAAUUGCAAUCACUGAGCUAAUGACUGUGAUAGAAAAGAAUUGCAAUACUUAAGUCCCGUCAUUAUACUAAUAACCUUCGCACAGAAAUACAAACAUAACAAUUGUUUGGCAAGAGUGAUUUAUUACCUGGGGAACAGAAUCUGGGGGAAGAAAUUCCUCCUGGCUUCUGUGAAGAGAGGAAAGGGCUAAGAUUUCUUUUUUUGGUAUUGGGGAUGGAACCGGGGAGCACUCAACACUGAGCACAUUCCCAGGCCUUUUUCUUUUUUUAUUUAUUUUAUUUUAUUUAUUUAUUUAUUUAUUUAUUUUUAAUUUUUUAUUGUUGGUUGUUCAAAACAUUACAAAUUUCUUGACAUAUCAUAUUCCACACUUUGAUUCAAGUGGGUUAUGAACUCCCACCUUCACCCCAUACACAGAUUGCAGAAUCACAUCAGUUACACAUCCAUUGAUUUACAUAUUGCCAUACUAGUGUCUGUUGUGCUCCGCUGCCUUUCCCAUCCUCCACCCUCCCCCCUCCCCACCUCUCCUCUUUUUUCUUUUGAGACAGGGUCUCGCUAAGUUGCUCAGGCUGGCCUUGAACUUGCAGUUCUCCUGCCUCAGCCUCCUGAGGAGCUGGGAUUACAGGUAAGUGCCACCACUCCUGGAUAGAGAGCUAAGAUUUCUAAAGUGCCUACUGUGUGCCAGGAUGCAGUGGUGGAGGUCCCUGUCCUAGGAAGUCCUGGUUCACAUGGGCAGGGGGCAGCCAGGAUGGCAGAGGCCAUAAAGGGAAGGGGCCUUAGGAGGAGGGGGUAUCAACAGAAACCUGUAGGAGGUGGUGGCCUUGAGCUAGGCCUGGAAGCAUGAGUAGGAUUCAGGGGAUCUUAUUCCCCUUCCUCAUCUCUUCUCCUCAGCCAGCUACAAUCUGGCUUCUGUCCCCUGCUUUUGUCCUUGAAAUGCCCUUCAUGACUCCAGAACCAAAGGUGGGUCCUUAGUCCUCUUCUUUUAUUUUAAAUAUAUAUUUUUAGUUGUAAAAUCAAGAUAGCACUCCUUGUAGGUGGACACGAUACCUUUAUUUAUUUUUUAUGCGGUGUUGAAGAUCGAACUCAGUGCCCCACGCAUCCCAGGCGAGCUCUACCACUGAGCCACACCCCAGCCAGUCCUCAUCUUCUUUGGCUCUUAGAAGCAUGUGUUCCUGGCUGCUUCUGUGGCCUCUGGACCCACCCUUCCCUGGGUCCCACAGCAUCACCUGUCCCUUCCGCUGCUCCCCGUCCCCUCUUCUGUGUCCUCUCCCCUCCUGACCUCCACGCCCCCAGCUCAGCCCUCACCUCUCUUCCCUGUUGCUGGCUCCCACAUCUCACUGGCCUCUCGGCCUCCGACCGACCCGCUGUGCACAGUAUCUCAUUGUCUAUGAAGCACUUCCCCCCCACCCCCACCCCGGGCUGUCCAAAAGACAGUCUCCUAAGCCAGAUAUCAUAGAUCAAAAAAGCUCACAUCAGCACCCAGGAAGUCUGCCCUGGGCUCAGUCCGGGCCCAGUCCUGACCUACAAGGGUGCUGCCAGCUGGGCAUGGCCAGAGGGGAACCCUGCUGGCCUCCUACUUCUUGCGAAUGCAAGUGGAGGGGAUGUGCUCCUCGUCACCGCCCGGGCUCACUGUGCUGGGGCCACCUUGCUGAUGUGGAGCUGGAGCCCAUUCUCCGGUACAGAGAGUGUCCCUCACACAACACGCUGUGGCUUGUCCAUCUGAGCCCUGAUUGAUAUUGUGGCGUUUCCAUUUUUAGAAUUACGAAAGGUCCUAUUUGAGGAGGUAAGGGCUGCCGUGCAGGAACCGAGGGGGUGCAGGGCGCAGGUGCCUGGGGCUG
rnacentral:lncRNA from 1 species